CAGUCGCCACGGGAAUACGUAGGUGGCAAGCGUUGUCCGGAAUUAUUGGGCGUAAAGGGCUCGCAGGCGGUUUCUUAAGUCUGAUGUGAAAGCCCCCGGCUCAACCGGGGAGGGUCAUUGGAAACUGGGAAACUUAAGUGCAGAAGAGGAGAGUGGAAUUCCACGUGUAGCGGUGAAAUGCGUAGAGAUGUGGAGGAACACCAGUGGCGAAGGCGACUCUCUGGUCUGUAACUGACGCUGAGGAGCGAAAGCGUGGGGAGCGAACAGGAUUAGAGACCCCAGUAGUCCCUGUCUCUUAUAC
rnacentral:rRNA from 1 species